CCUUUCCUGGCGGAGGGGUUAACGCGCCCCAACUAGAGAUCGGGGAGUCGUGAGUUCGAUUCUCACUGAGAAGA
rnacentral:tRNA from 1 species